rnacentral:rRNA from 1 species
AGAACGAACGCUGGCGGCAGGCCUAACACAUGCAAGUCGAACGCUCGUAGCAAUACGGGAGUGGCGCACGGGUGAGUAACGCGUGGGCACCUGCCCGGUGGUUUGGGAUAACCGUGGGAAACUGCGGCUAAUACCGGAUACGCCCCUCGGGGGAAAGAUUUAUCGCCAUCGGAUGGGCCCGCGUAGGAUUAGCUAGUUGGUGAGGUAACGGCUCACCAAGGCAACGAUCCUUAGCUGGUCUGAGAGGAUGAUCAGCCACACUGGGACUGAGACACGGCCCAGACUCCUACGGGAGGCAGCAGUGGGGAAUAUUGGACAAUGGGGCAACCUGAUCCAGCCAUGCGCGUGAGUGAAGAGGCC